UACGGAGGGUGCAAGCGUUGUUCGGAUUUACUGGGCGUAAAGGGCGCGUAGGCGGCUUGUUAAGUCGGGUGUGAAAUCCUUCCGCUUAACGGAAGAAGUGCACUCGAAACUGCCUUGCUCGAGUUUAGGAGAGGAGAGCGGAAUUCCCGGUGUAGAGGUGAAAUUCGUAGAUAUCGGGAGGAACACCCGUGGCGAAAGCGGCUCUCUGGACUAAUAAUGACGCUGAGGCGCGAAAGCGUGGGGAGCAAACCGG
rnacentral:rRNA from 1 species